rnacentral:rRNA from 1 species
UGGGGGAAUACUGCGCAAUGGGCGGAAGCCUGACGCAGCAACGCCGCGUGCGGGAUGACGGCCUUCGGGUUGUAAACCGCUUUCAGCAGGGACGAAGCGUGAGUGACGGUACCUGCAGAAGAAGCACCGGCCAACUACGUGCCAGCAGCCGCGGUGAUACGUAGGGUGCGAGCGUUGUCCGGAAUUAUUGGGCGUAAAGAGCUCGUAGGUGGUUGAUCACGUCGAAAGUGAAAUCUCAGGGCUUAACCCUGAGCGUGCUUUCGAUACGGGUCGACUAGAGGAAGGUAGGGGAGAAUGGAAUUCCUGGUGGAGCGGUGGAAUGCGCAGAUAUCAGGAGGAACACCAGUGGCGAAGGCGGUUCUCUGGACCUUUCCUGACGCUGAGGAGCGAAAAG